GAUGUGCAGGAAGAAAAGGGUCAUUGGAUUGUACAGGAAGAACGUGAUGUUGUUCUUUGCUGCUCGACCACAUUGCCCUUGGUCAAGAAACAUCUUAAUUUCUCAGCCUCCAUGGACACCGCCGAGAUCCUUGACCACGGUUCAUCGGGACAUGUGCCAUCUAGCAACAAAAAAUUGUGUUUAGCUGUUCAGGCAGGACGCCGACCAGCCGCACAACUGCUUCCCUCAUCUGCCUCUUCAUCGUCAGGGAGGUCGCCCUCCAGCAGAGGAGGAGGCGACGAGGUACAUUGGCCCAUCUUUGAUCAUGUGCCGAGUGACUGACAGGAGGAAGUGACAGGGUACACAAGCAGAUGAAUCAAUACUGCAGAAGUGUGCAUGUGUUGCGAGCAGUGAUCAACAUAGCUGAUUCAUCACUGUUGUUCCUUUUGGUGUGACUAUGGCUGGACUAUUUGCUUGUCAUGAUGAAGAAAUGGCCAUAGCCAUGGGGAUCUUCCUAUUGCAGCGGCUCCGAAAGGAGAGGUACGAGUGUGUAUGCGAGAUAAAAGGGUAAAGCUUCCAUGGCGGUGUGGGCAGUUCUAACUUGUAAGGUCUACUUGAUCUCCUCUCAGUUAUGAUAGACGAUUGGUGCUGUACGGCUUGGUUGAGAUCAAAUUCAACGGAGACGGCAAUUGUCAAGUCUAUUUAUGGGAUUCAAUUUUCUGUUUACUUUUUAAGAAUAGCAUGUUUGGUACCCGGAUAAAUAUAAUGGAUCGGAGUGGUGGAUUGAGUAACUUCCAAAAUGGACCUAAUUAUCUUGGUUUCUCCUUUCACGACAAGAUGGUGUUGGAUGUGGCAUGACGUUGUGUGAGACUAGAAGUCAAGGUUCUGGUCGAUUGAUUUAUAUGUCUCUGAAAUACUUGUACUUCAAAAUGCCGACCACUUUAUAUAGGGCUCCAGUAGUAAAUGCAUUGAGGGGAAGGAGCGACGGCCCGAUAUAUAUCGUUGAUUAUACAAUAUGUAGCAAACACUUUUGUCUUCGACUCAUGUUUGACUUAUUCCUAUUCAAUCUCGCAUUUUCAUUUGCCUAACAUCAGAACUGGGAACAUCAAAAUUGACAUUUGAAUAUAAGCAAGACCAUGAAUUAUAUCGGCUUUAGUGCUCCAUAAUUAAAAGUGACUCUUUUGCCUUGCAACCCCAACUUGGUGACAUGUGUAUAUUGUAAAAGCAAUGUGUUCGUGCGUAUCUAUUUUGAAGCCUUUCACUUGCUGACACGAGUGACAUCUAAGAAUCAACGUCCACUGAUGAACAAUUAAUUACAAAUGCAUUGUAUAUCCUUUUUCUUGGGGGUUAUUUGUUAGUCUUCUCUGAUAUUAACCGUAAAAUGCAUAUUUCAUCAUUUGACUGUAGUCUAAUACUGAAACAUGUAUUCUUGGAUGAUACGUGUGAGUUGUGGACUUCCUUCCCUUUAUCACAAAUCAACAGUACAUACUUCAGAAUUUAGUCGCAUAAGAUUGAUUGUACUUUUUUAUUUUGAGUAGGAAAAAGUACCUUGUUCUGUUAGGUACUUUGCUCCCAGAGAUAAUUUGAUCCACCAACAUUAUUGAUUUUGUUAGGUAUUGUCAGUUAACUGUGCCUCUUCUUCUUUACCCCUUAUUCUUCUCCUUCUUUACCUUUGAUGAUUCAAGGAUAGGCCUCCGUAACAGAGAUUUAGAGUUGAACCCUCUUUUCUGCUGGUUUCCAUGACUCUCAGAACCAUCGAAUUCAAGUCAUCUUUGAGUACAGGACAUCUUCUGAAGUUCGUGCCAUCAUGCUUUAGUUUCCCACAUGGGCUGAGAUUAUUCAAAUAAAAAGACGGUCUUAGGCACAAGAACAUGAUGUGCUUGCGCCAGUUGCUUUCACACCAAGGCCACGCGGUUGAUCAUCUAAGCGUGCCUAUGAAGUUGACCGACAAGGCAGUUGGAUAGAGCUACUAAUUAGUAUACCUAAUAGCUAUUGCUUUGUAGUUUGACCGCCUCUACCGUCAGUAUGCCUGGCUUUUGCUUUCUUAUUAUGUUCCUGCUAUUAGUACUUCCUCUCUCGUGUUCGUGCUCUUAGUAUUGAACUUAAUGUUUAGUUAUUAGCUUUUGUGGUCUAAAGAAGUAACUGAGUGUUUAUAAUUUCAUGACGAUGUUGAACUCGAUAAUAUCUUGCUUCUUACUGAAUGAUCAUUAUCUGCUUGACCAUAUCGUUGGGACCGACACCCUUGCGCCAAGGCGCGGUCCCGAUCUAGUACAGAUGAAGGAUUCAAA